UGUGGAAGCUGAACUAAUGGAUGCGUGCAGAUCAAGUGUCUGCCCGUGGUGUCAGCCUUCCUAUAUUAACACUGGAGAUCUCUGUCUGGCCCUGCACAGCGUACACACGGGUCAGAUCGUUCCUCUCCACACAAC